CGCACAUUGCGCCCCUUGGUAUUCCGGGGGGCAUGCCUGUUCGAGCGUCAUUACAACCCUCAAGCUCUGCUUGGUAUUGGGCGUCCCCGGGAACGGGGUGCCCUAAAAUCAGUGGCGGUGCCGUCUGGCUCUAAGCGUAGUAAAUCUCUCGCUCUGGAGACCCGGUGGAUGCUUGCCAGUAACCCCCAAUUUUUUUAAGGUUGACCUCGGAUCAGGUAGGGAUACCCGCUGAACUUAA
rnacentral:misc_RNA from 1 species